AUUGAACGCUGGCGGCGUGCCUAAUACAUGCAAGUCGAGCGCAGGAAGCCGUCUGAACCCUUCGGGGGGACGACGGUGGAAUGAGCGGCGGACGGGUGAGUAACACGUAAAGAACCUGCCCAUAGGUCUGGGAUAACCACGAGAAAUCGGGGCUAAUACCGGAUGUGUCAUCGGACCGCAUGGUCCGCUGAUGAAAGGCGCUCCGGCGUCGCCCAUGGAUGGCUUUGCGGUGCAUUAGCUAGUUGGUGGGGUAACGGCCGACCAAGGCGACGAGGCAUGGCGGACCUGAGAGGGUGAUCGGCCACCCUGGGACUGAGACACGGCCCAGACUCCUACGGGAGGCAGCAGUAGGGAAUCUUCCACAAUGGACGAAAGUCUGAUGGAGCAACGCCGCGUGAACGAUGAAGGCUUUCGGGUCGUAAAGUUCUGUUGUAAGGGAAGAACAAGUGCCGCAGGCAAUGGCGGCACCUUGACGGUACCUUGCGAGAAAGCCACGGCUAACUACGUGCCAGCCGCCGCAGUAAGAC
rnacentral:rRNA from 1 species